AGAGUGAACGCUGGCGGCAGGCCUAACACAUGCAAGUCGAGCGGCAGCACAGUCGUAGCAAUACGAUGGGUGGCGAGCGGCGGACGGGUGAGGAAUGCAUCGGAAUCUACCUUGUUGUGGGGGAUAACGUAGGGAAACUUACGCUAAUACCGCAUGAGACCGUAAGGUGAAAGCGGGGGACCUGUGAGGGCCUCGCGCGACAAGAUGAGCCGAUGCCGGAUUAGCUAGUUGGUGGGGUAAAGGCCCACCAAGGCGACGAUCCGUAGCUGGUCUGAGAGGAUGAUCAGCCACACUGGAACUGAGACACGGUCCAGACUCCUACGGGAGCAGCAGUGGGGAAUAUUGGACAAUGGGCGCAAGCCUGAUCCAGCCAUGCCGCGUGUGUGAAGAAGGCCUUCGGUGUAAAGCACUUUGUUGGGAAGAAAGUCCUGGGAUUAAGUGCUCCCGGUGCUGACGUACCAAAGAAUAAGCACGCUAACUGUG
rnacentral:rRNA from 1 species